CACGCUUUAGUACAAGGGUAAUAGAUACUAUAUUAUAAAAUCCUCAAAUAUUGACCUGACUAUGCACAACAUCCUUGCCUUGUUUUUUUGUAACAAAGUUACCAGAGUUAUGUGGAUCCAAAGUAGAUUGUAUUUAUUUCUCUCAGAAUGUGCUAUACUUCAA